UCAAAUGCGAUGAGGAGAAGAGUAGAUAUAUCCGUUCUUUUACAGAGAGCCCCGGACGCUGAAAAGGGGUAAAGAAAGGUGUAUUGAACCAAGUCUCUGAGCGGCGUACCGGAACUAGCAGAUGCCGGGGAUGGUGCGACAGGAGCUCCUGUUACAGAGCUAGAGUAUAAGCCUUGCCUGCCGGCAAUGCCGUACUUAAUGAGAUUAAUAUGGCGACAUAUUAAUAAACCUGGGGUGGUACCGCGAGAAUCUCGUCCCCAAG
rnacentral:ncRNA from 1 species